rnacentral:snRNA from 1 species
AUCUCAUUUACUUGAACACAU